GCAAAUCAUACAGAGAAUCAGCUGCACCCUCUACUCAGCCUGCUUUCCAUAGCAGAAGGACCAGUAAUAUCUGUCGCAUUCAUCCAGCGUUGCAUGGUCAAGUACAUGUAAUGGAUACUGAAUUUCAGCAUGCAAUGUGGGCCACAGGACCAAUGGUUCUAUAACUGUUCCCAUCAUUCCUUUCAUCUGUUCUCAGGAUUUUCCCUGCAAACACAGAAACCUGUUCAAAAUUUUUACUAUUGAAAGACCUUCCCCUACCAAUUAUUUGCAUGCACCAACACCUGAGAUGGGGAUUAUCACAGCUCCAGCUUUCUCUGUACAUACAAGGAAUUCAGCAACUUCCUGAAGUUACGUUAAAUGGAAGGUGGUGGUCACAUCCAACACACAGCUCCUCUGCUCUCAAGUCUACACAUGGACAUGCUUUACUACCAACCUGAGUAAUCACAUUGGCUCUUGACAAAAACCUUCCUUAGGACACAACUCUUCAUCCUCUCCUCUCAUUACAUGCACUGCAGCUGUGCUUAUGCAAGGUCUGCUCAAAUACUUGUAAGAUCUACCAGCAAACUGACCACUGAAAUGGCCUUUCCUAUAAUUGCCUUCUUCCUCCGAUUUUACAUACUACUGUCAGAAACAGAUCACCCUAA